AAGAUUCUAAUCCAGAUUCAGAAGAGGAGCUGACUGGCCUCUGGCAAGCCCAAGCUGGAUUACCAGCUGCGGAGGCAGAGGUGCCUGAGGUUUCCCAGCCCCCAGGCCAGAGGAGGCUGCUACACCCACUUCCCCCACGAAGCUGGGGCCCAGGCCAGAGAGAGAGCCCCAAAGCUGGUUUGGGGGCGGGGAGCUUCCCUACAGGCCCUGGAGCCCCAUAGGCCCCAAGACAAAGCAAGAGGAAUGAGAGGAAGCACAGCCGGGUCAAAGCUCCGAGCCACGAGUACUGAGGCAGGUGGUGGUACCCAGACCCCCUCUCCAUAGCUCCCAUGAGAGCACAAGGCGGAGGAGAGGACAGACUCCUGGCCUGAGGGGCCAAGCACCAGCUUCUCAGCCAGCUCUGCCACUGACUUGCUGCUUGGCAAGUCACUUAACUGUUCCAAGCCUCAGUUUUCACUUCUGGAAAUGGGGAUAUGACCCCCUGCCUGCCCCCUCAUGCUGGCAUAAGAAUCAAUGACCUGUGACAGGACUUUGUAAAUUAUAAGUUGGUAUUAGUUAGGCCUCUUUAGUCACAAAUGUGAGAAACUGACAUUAAAUGAGGCAAUGCAAAAGGGGGAUUCACCAGCUCAGAGGCCCAAGACCCAGGGCAGGGAGAGGAGGCGCUGUCAUUCCCUCUCACCCCUGCAUCUCUCUGCAAGUCAGUCUCUUCUUCCGCAAGCCUGGAGCCAACUUCACCUCCUAAGAGGAGCUUCUCUGCUCUGUCACUACCAACUUGAACAACCACAGGGAGGGCCCUGAAUUGUGUCACAUGUCCACCCAUGGCUGUGAGACACUAUCUUAUGCAGCUUCUUCUGGAAGCUUCUUAUUUUGAUUGUUGGCAUCAGCAUUAUAAGUUUGCCACAUUUUCCUGAUUCCUAUCCUCCUUGGACAAAAUAACAUAGGGGCUAAGGGCACAGGCUCUGGAACCCAGAUUACCUGGAUUCAAGUUCUGGUUCUGCCAUUUUCUCACUGUGUAACGUUGGGCAAGUCGCUUAACUUCUCUGCACCUCAGUUCAUAAAUCUGUGAAAACUAAAUGAGUUGAUACAUGGGAAGUAUGAACAAUUGUGCCUGGUGCCGGCCAGGGGUUCAACAAAUGUUAAUCAUUAUUAUUGUCGGAGAAUGAAGGGGCAGUGCCUGGGAAUCCCAGGAUGAGAGACAGCCUGAAGAAAAACCAUCCUGCUCCACCUACUCCUCAACCUUCUUCCGGGGAGAGCUGACAACUGCAGGAGCUAUGGCUCAACAAAGAUGUACAGAGCUAUGCAGUAAGCCCUGAGAAUUACAAAACUUGACAGACAAAGUCGCUUUUUCUCCAGAAGCUCAUUGCCAAGUAAGGGAGAUAGAAGCAUGAAGAGAUCAUUUCUAUCCUGUGCUGGAUAGAAGCGUGUGUAUGUCUCUGUGGGAAGCCACAGUGGGACAACUGGUCCAGAGAGAGCUGCCUGGAAGAAAUGACACCUGAGCUAAGGCCUGGAGCAGGGGCAAGAGCUUGCCAAGCAAGGAAAGGAGGGCAGGGCGUUGUGCUGUCCAUUGGCUAUUCAGUCUCGGCUCCAGAUCUCCACUUGUCAGGUUGGCGCUACUGGGGCUUGAUCUGUGCAAAUUACAUGUCCCCAGGUCAGCUGGUUCUGGCAGGUUCUUCCAAUAGGGGGCACUAGGAGACUGAGGUCAGGAGGAGAGAAGGCACUUGCUCUUUUGUGCUUGCUUGCUUCUCCCCAGCAAGCUUUUUGCCGCAGAAGCAUCCACUGAAGCCUCCAGCUUUCUUCAGCCUCAGCAGCUGGAAGCCAUGUGAAGCAGCUGACAAACAGCUGGAGGCUGAGAUGCCUGCUGUGGGGGGAGCAACAGUUUAAACCAGUGAGCAUGUAGCAUCGGAAAGCUUCCCGAUGGAUGAUAGAUUUGGUGUCAGAAGUGAGAAUACAGAGUAAAACUUCAGCAACCCCCAGGAACACCAGGGAACCAGACCAGAUACCUGCGAAGCCAGCUGUGCCCACUGAUUUCUUGUUUGUAACUGGAGGUCGUGGCUGAAUUUUCUCUCAGAUUCCAAGAUCCAAGAAUUUGUGUUCUCAGCUCUCCAAGUUUGUUUGAGCAAUCUUUGGACUGGGCUGGGUUUGGGAUUGGAUUGGAUUCAAUAAUCAACCGGAUUAGAUUCAGUUAGAGGCUGAGGGCCUCAGAAAGCUAUAUUUAAAAGGGGGCUGAUACUGCUGUUUUCUAAGAUACUGCCACCAGAUACGUUAAGGAAAUCUCUCAAGAGAAAGGAACAGAUGACAUGUCUAUGGGAGCAACUGACAGUUGGUUUGUAAGCAUCCCGAAUGGUGAAUGGCAAGCUUGGCUUUUUCCAAGGUUUUCUAAAGUAUAAAUUUCUUCCCUUAGGUCUCCAGGUUAUUAUGACUUGUGUUACCAGGUAACAACAAAAAUGGCCUUUUAAAAUCAGGCCAUUUUACAGCAAACUAUAGUUCUUAAUCAUCACCAAAUCCUGCACCAAGGACUAUGCCCAACUAGAGUCAAAUAUUGUUAAACUGCCUAUAUUGUCUGAACUUUGACCUGUUUGAUUUGGUUAGGUUCGUUGAGUUCAUUUCUUAGAACUUGUUGAGGAGUACACUUUGGACUUGUUUGUUUGUUUGCUUGUUUGUUUUAAG
rnacentral:lncRNA from 1 species